GAUCAAUUAGCACAGGGGAGAUGUGUAAUAGAACAAGUAAUGGUCUUCUGGACAACUUCAAUCUCAGAGAAGGCAGAAUAACAUAAAAAGUCAUCAUGUCAUAAGUGUUUAAGAAGGAACUGCAGAUACUGG